UUGGGAGCAAGCCGCCUGCCGAGUCUACCUUUAGUCCUGAAGUCCUGGGAGGGAGCUUGCAUUUCUGUCCCGACUCUGACCAAGCUGGUCUGCAGCGCGGACUGGGCUUGUGCCUGCUGCAGCCACGUGGCGAGAGGAGUGGCCAGGGUCUGCCCCUGGACCUCUCCCUGAUGGCCCCCAGCAAACUUCAUCUGUCAGCCUGAGGGGUGGGGGCGUAGAGGGUUGUGCACCCUUCUCCACACACCAGUGUUAAAGCCUGGGAUGGAGGAGUCCAGGUGGUGGGAGGCCGCCUGUCUGAGGAGGUAACAGCUGCCGAGGAACUGGCCCUGAGCCCUGAAUACACAGCUCUGUGUGCGAGCAAGAUGGAGCCUGACCUGUCUGGUUUUAACAUCGAUGCCCCCCGUUGGGACCAGUCCACUUUCCUGGGGCGGGUGAAGCACUUCUUCAACAUCACGGACCCUCGCACUGUUCUGAUACCAGAGCGGGAGCUGGAUUGGGCCAAGAUGAUGGUGGAGAAAAGCAGGAUGGGGGUCGUGCCCCCAGGGACUCAAGUGGAGCAGCUGCUGUAUGCCAAAAAGCUCUAUGACUCUGCCUUCCACCCUGACACCGGGGACAAGAUGAAUGUCAUUGGACGGAUGUCCUUCCAGGUUCCCGGCGGCAUGAUCAUCACAGGCUUCAUGCUCCAGUUCUACAGGACGAUGCCAGCGAUCAUCUUCUGGCAAUGGGUGAACCAGUCCUUCAAUGCCUUAGUCAACUACACCAACAGGAAUGCGGCUUCCCCCACAUCAGUCAGGCAGAUGGCCCUUUCCUACCUCACAGCCACAACUACUGCGGUGACCACUGCUGUGAGCAUGAACAUGUUGACAAAGAAAGCUCCCCCCUUGGUGGCCCGCUGGGUGCCCUUUGCUGCUGUAGCUGCUGCUAACUGUGUCAAUAUCCCAAUGAUGCGACAGCAGGAACUCAUCCAAGGCAUCUCCGUGAAGGACAAAAAUCACAAUGAGCUUGGUCAUUCUCGGAGAGCUGCGGCCAUAGGCAUCACCCAAGUGGUUAUUUCUCGGAUCACCAUGGCAGCCCCUGGCAUGAUUUUAUUGCCCAUUGUCAUGGAAAGGCUGGAGAAACUGCCCUUCAUGCAGAAAGUCAAGGUCCUGCAUGCGCCGUUGCAGGUUAUGCUGUGUGGGUGCUUCCUCAUCUUCAUGGUGCCAGUGGCAUGUGGGCUCUUCCCACAGAUAUGGUAUCAGCUAUUCCUUCCUUCCUUUGUUUUACCAAAUGUCCCGCCCCUACUCUCCCUGCCCUGCUUGCUGUCCGGAAGGAGAGAGGGAGGGGAAAGAAGGGCAGCAUUUGUCCAGGGACAAGUGCCUGUCAGCCUAAACUCGGGGCCUCUUAACCCUGCAUGAAUGGUAAGCCAGAACACGUCUCCGAAGGGAUGAACUGCGUUCAGUGCAGCAAGGGCUGCCUUGGAGAGAAAGCGGGGGAACAACAAGAGACUCUGUCCUGCUGUUUGGGUUAUUAGAUAAAUCUCCCCUGGCUGGACCCAGGUCCUUAUUCUGGCUCUUAUUUGCCAGAGGGUGGAUGAAUUGAACCUCUUCAUCCACCAUGUCAUGGAAGGGCAGCAUCAGGUGGGUGGGAGGACGGACUCGUUCCAGGAGACCAGGUAGGAAUACAGACCUGGAAUAUAUUCCGAGGAGAUGCCACUCUCCCCUUCCUUAGUGCUCUUAGCUCAGUGGUCAUCUGUUAGAUGUCUCCUGUGUUCCGAGCACUGUGCCUGUAAUCUUGUGGAGAAGGUGGAAGUUGAGCACCAGGGAGAAGGAAGACAGGCCUGAGUAGAGUGAACUGCCAGUUUCCUACCUGGAACAGGAGCUCCAAGACGCCAUCAAGGCCAAGUAUGGAGAACUUGUACCUUCUGUCUACUUCAA